UGUAUGGCCAGGCUGGGGCCAGAGCAUCUAUGUGCACUGUGCUUCAGGCUAGAGGAAGCAGAGCCAGAGGAGUAAUUGAAAGGAAGUUGAGGCUUUGGCUUUACCCACAGCAGACAAAUGAUGCAUUCUGAAAUCAAAAGUAAAGGAGCUGGAAAAGACUGAGCAGGCUUCUUGCUAUUCAUGUCAGAUGUGACUGAUCCCUGUAAAUUGGGGCCAUCGUGCAUUUUGGACACCACGGAGAAGCCCAUUUUGCCCAUGCUACAGCUGUUUUUC